GCUACACAUGCAGUCGAGCGGAUGAAGGGAGCUUGCUCCUGGAUUCAGCGGCGGACGGGUGAGUAAUGCCUAGGAAUCUGCCUGGUAGUGGGGGAUAACGUCCGGAAACGGGCGCUAAUACCGCAUACGUCCUGAGGGAGAAAGUGGGGGAUCUUCGGACCUCACGCUAUCAGAUGAGCCUAGGUCGGAUUAGCUAGUUGGUGGGGUAAAGGCCUACCAAGGCGACGAUCCGUAACUGGUCUGAGAGGAUGAUCAGUCACACUGGAACUGAGACACGGUCCAGACUCCUACGGGAGGCAGCAGUGGGGAAUAUUGGACAAUGGGCGAAAGCCUGAUCCAGCCAUGCCGCGUGUGUGAAGAAGGUCUUCGGAUUGUAAAGCACUUUAAGUUGGGAGGAAGGGCAGUAAGUUAAUACCUUGCUGUUUUGACGUUACCAACAGAAUAAGCACCGGCUAACUUCGUGCCAGCAGCCGCGGUAAUACGAAGGGUGCAAGCGUUAAUCGGAAUUACUGGGCGUAAAGCGCGCGUAGGUGGUUCAGCAAGUUGGAUGUGAAAUCCCCGGGCUCAACCUGGGAACUGCAUCCAAAACUACUGAGCUAGAGUACGGUAGAGGGUGGUGGAAUUUCCUGUGUAGCGGUGAAAUGCGUAGAUAUAGGAAGGAACACCAGUGGCGAAGGCGACCACCUGGACUGAUACUGACACUGAGGUGCGAAAGCGUGGGGAGCAAACAGGAUUAGAUACCCUGGUAGUCCACGCCGUAAACGAUGUCGACUAGCCGUUGGGAUCCUUGAGAUCUUAGUGGCGCAGCUAACGCGAUAAGUCGAACCGCCUGGGGAGUACGGGCCCGCAAGGUUAAAACUCACAUGAAUUGAACGGGGGCCCUGCUCAACCGUGGAGCAUGUGGUUUAAUUUCAAGCAAAAGCAAAAAACCUAUCCGGGCCC
rnacentral:rRNA from 1 species